UGUUUUGAGAGGAAAAAAUUAUGUUUUGAAAGUUUGUAGUAUAGAAGGUGAAAGUGUGAUGAGUGGACCGAGUUUUAUGAGAGGGAGAUAGUACUUCUCAAAACCAACUUUCUCAGUUUCUAUUCUUUCUUUUUUUUCGUACAUCCCUUUUUCCUUCUUCCUUUUAUGGUUACUCCUCCUUUUUUUGAUAAAUAAUGAAAAAAAAGAAAUAAUAAUAAUAAAAGAAGAAUUUUUCAUAGCCACACACUUGCGUGCCAUGUGUCAAAUUUUCCCUAGAUAUACGUUUUCUUCUUUAGGAACACUCACGUGUAGUAGCAUUUAAAAAAAAUAAAAAUAAAUCAUUGUAGACAAUUGUAUAAUAAAAUAAGUAUGAAAGUUUAAAAAGUAAAAAAAUUCAAACAAGACUUAGUUAAACUAAAUAAAAUCGAAAUGAAAAAUAGAAAAACCUAAUUAAUUAAUAUGACUAUUUAGACAAAGAAAUAAAAAUAAACGGAUUUAAGACGAACAAAAGUGGAACGCAAAAAUUC
rnacentral:lncRNA from 1 species